rnacentral:rRNA from 1 species
AUGAUGUUGCAGCCUAAGAAGGGGAUGACGUUCGAUAGUGAGGAUGCUGUUGUUAACUUCUACAAAGAUUAUGCCAAAAAAGAGGGAUUUGGUGUAAUAAGAAGAACCACUAGACAUGGAGAAGAUAGCAAGCUUGUUUAUUUUACUCUUGCUUGUAACAGGCAAGGGAAGGCUCAAUAUUCAUCCAAGAACUCAUUUAAACCUAAUCCAUCAACGAGGAUGCAAUGCCCAGCUAAGAUUAAUUUAUCUCGUCGUGAGGAGAAGUUCUGCAUUACAUCUAUUACGCUUGACCACAAUCAUCCUAUAAGUCCAAGUAAAGCCAGAUUUCUGAGAUGUCACAAGAAACUGGACUUGCAUGCCAAGAGAAGGCUGGAAUUGAAUGAUCAAGCAGGAAUCCGUCUGAAUAAAAAAUUUGGUUCUCUUAAGCUGGUGGGUAUGUUAAUCUUGAGUUCGGUGAAAAGGAGUGCAGGAACUAUUUGCAAGAGACAAGAAGGCUGA